rnacentral:rRNA from 1 species
AGUGAACGCUGGCGGUAGGCCUAACACAUGCAAGUCGAACGGCAGCACAGUAAGAGCUUGCUCUUACGGGUGGCGAGUGGCGGACGGGUGAGGAAUACAUCGGAAUCUACUUUUUCGUGGGGGAUAACGUAGGGAAACUUACGCUAAUACCGCAUACGACCUACGGGUGAAAGCAGGGGAACUUCGGACCUUGCGCGAUUAAAUGAGCCGAUGUCGGAUUAGCUAGUUGGCGGGGUAAAGGCCCACCAAGGCGACGAUCCGUAGCUGGUCUGAGAGGAUGAUCAGCCACACUGGAACUGAGACACGGUCCAGACUCCUACGGGAGGCAGCAGUGGGGAAUAUUGGACAAUGGGCGCAAGCCUGAUCCAGCCAUACCGCGUGGGUGAAGAAGGCCUUCGGGUUGUAAAGCCCUUUUGUUGGGAAAGAAAAGCAGCAGGUUAAUACCCCGCUGUUCUGACGGUACCCAAAGAAUAAGCACCGGCUAACUUCGUG